AGGCCGCGGGAGCUGGAAGGCUGGCGGAAGCUGUGUCACAGCGCGCCCCUGCGCCCACCACCCAGACAAGAGAGAUCUAAGUCAGGCGUUGGGCAGGAGAUGGAGCUGAGGCCUACCCCAGGCCAGGCCUGGACGUGACAUGCCCACGUGGCGUUGAGGAAAAACCAGUGUUUCCCACCGACUGGAACACAAGGAGGCGAAGGCAGGAGAAUCCAGGCGACCCUGGGGCUUUUCUGCUGGGGCACUGUUCCCCCUGUGGCAGGGCCAUCCACAGAGGGGCUGGCGGAAGUGGGAGGACGAGUGCAUUCCACAGAGAUGGGAUUUGAACCUGGGCAUUCUGGCACGGGCCACGCUCUGGACCACUGGGCCCCAGAUCCACAGCUUCUCACCUGCAGCCGCUGAGGAUGUGGAGGCAGACCAGGCAGGCCCGUGGGAAGGACCACCAAAAAGCGAGCUUCUCAAUGCUGGAAGGGGACUCGUUGGGUCAGUGGGACGUGGGCUUCACGUUUGCUGGGCUGAAGACGUAGCUCUCCAUGCUGGCAUCCCAGCGGACACCCCCACUGCCACUGCUGCACCACGUCUUCACGUACACCAGAGAGCAGACUUGAGAGUUUCUGCGCAUACAGUGGGUGUGAAAUGGUGCCCUGCUGGGUUUUGAAUCGGCAUUCCUUGACCACCGGCCAUAUUGCAGCACUUUUCAUUUCUUCUGUCAAAUGCCCGUGCAUGUCUUGGCUUACACUUUGCAGGUGUUCUGUAUUUUCCACACCAAUCCCUGGGGUGUAUGUCUUCGGCCUACCUGUUACUUGUCUUCUCAGUUUGCUGAUGUAUCAUGUGAUAAACAGAAAGUCUUAAUUUUAAUAUCAUAGCAUUUAUCAAUCUGAUUUCUUUUUUUGAGACGGGGUCUCGCUCUGUCGUGCAGGCUGGGGUGCAUUGGCGCAAUCAUGGCUCACUGAAGCCUCCUGGGCUCAAGUGAUCCUCCCACCUUAGCCUCCCAAACACCUGGGACUA
rnacentral:lncRNA from 10 species